rnacentral:rRNA from 1 species
AAUAGAUACCCGGGUAGUCCACCCCGUAAACGUUGGGAACUAGUUGUGGGGUCCUUUCCACGGAUUCCGUGACGCAGCUAACGCAUUAAGUUCCCCGCCUGGGGAGUACGGCCGCAAGGCUAAAACUCAAAGGAAUUGACGGGGACCCGCACAAGCGGCGGAGCAUGCGGAUUAAUUCGAUGCAACGCGAAGAACCUUACCAAGGCUUGACAUACACUGGAAGACCCUAGAAAUAGGGGGAUCUUUGGACACUGGUGUACAGGUGGUGCAUGGUUGUCGUCAGCUCGUGUCGUGAGAUGUUGGGUUAAGUCCCGCAACGAGCGCAACCCUCGUUCUAUGUUGCCAGCACGUUAUGGUGGGAACUCAUGGGAUACUGCCGGGGUCAACUCGGAGGAAGGUGGGGAUGACGUCAAAUCAUCAUGCCCCUUAUGUCUUGGGCUUCACGGCAUGCUACAAUGGCCGGUACAAUGGGCUGCGAUACCGGUGAGGUGGAGCGAAUCCCGAAAAAGCCGGUCCGGUCCGGAUCGUAGUCUGCAGCUCGACUACGUG